rnacentral:rRNA from 1 species
GGGAUAACAGCUGGAAACGGCUGCUAAUACCGCAUAAGCGCACAGAGCUGCAUGGCUCGGUGUGAAAAACUCCGGUGGUAUGGGAUGGGCCCGCGUCUGAUUAGGCAGUUGGCGGGGUAACGGCCCACCAAACCGACGAUCAGUAGCCGGCCUGAGAGGGCGACCGGCCACAUUGGGACUGAGACACGGCCCAAACUCCUACGGGAGGCAGCAGUGGGGAAUAUUGCACAAUGGGGGAAACCCUGAUGCAGCGACGCCGCGUGAGCGAAGAAGUAUUUCGGUAUGUAAAGCUCUAUCAGCAGGGAAGAUAAUGACGGUACCUGACUAAGAAGCCCCGGCUAACUACGUGCCAGCAGCCGCGGUAAUACGUAGGGGGCAAGCGUUAUCCGGAUUUACUGGGUGUAAAGGGAGCGUAGACGGCAAGGCAAGUCUGAUGUGAAGACCCAGGGCUUAACCCUAGGACUGCAUUGGAAACUGUCUGGCUCGAGUGCCGGAGAGGUAAGCGGAAUUCCUGGUGUAGCGGUGAAAUGCGUAGAUAUUAGGAAGAACACCAGUGGCGAAGGCGGCUUACUGGACGGUAACUGACGUUGAGGCUCGAAAGCGUGGGGAGCAAACAGGAUUAGAUACCCUGGUAGUCCACGCUGUAAACGAUGAAUGCUAGGUGUUGGGGAGCAAAGCUCUUCGGUGCCGCCG